rnacentral:misc_RNA from 1 species
CAAUGAGUGUUUUAUGGCACUCUUUGGUGCUGGCUCUCGCGAGCAAGUGCACAUUGGUGGCUUUCAUCCACUACUACCCUUGUGAACCUUUGGCCUCUUGCUCGCUUCGGCUGGCAGAGGAUUUUUACACACACACUCGAAUGUAAUGAAAACGUUUGUCGUGCGCAAGCACUAAUGUA